rnacentral:tRNA from 1 species
GCAGUGGUGGUUAGCGGUAGAAUUCUCGACUGCUAUACAGAAAACCCAGGUUCGAUUCCUGGCCAGUGUA